GCUGACGUCACAUGAAAUGCCCGGAUCCAGACCCGGAAGUUCCCCAGAAGCAGAGUACGUCAUCCCAGCGCCGGAGCCCGGCCCCGGGACAGCACUCAGCGCAGUUCCAGCUUCGCCACAGCUACAACCAAGGGAUUCACAGCCACAACCAACCACGCAGCAGAAGGAAACACAAGAUCUCCAUAGAGAGACCCACAGUCUUCACCUGACGCCAGGUCCAGCACCACUCCUAUCAAACACAAUCACAACACGUGUGAGCUUCAGAGUACAAACCCUGAUGAAAAAUGCAAACUUGUCUACUUUAACUCACAGUUUAGGCUCCUGUGUUCUUUCCCUAAUUCACCUGUUCCUGAGAACCUCAGCCAAGAGAGUCUCCUCCGUCUUUUUGCCACAACCUGUGACGCCUUGAUCUGCAGAGCUUGGAGAGGACUGGUGCUCUGAAGGUUCUGCAGUGGGAUCGCCUUUCCCCUGCAGUUCCCCACUCCUGGUGCCUGCCUGCGCUGGAGUGGCACCGUAGAGCAAGCCCAGAGCGGCGAGCAGCGUCAACGUAUUAUUGAAAAACAAAAGGGAGGAAUGUGUGGUGAGACCCCACAGAGCAAGGUAGCUAUGGCUAUUCAUACACUAAAUCAUUUGGCAAUAUCAGAAGGGUCCCAUCCCAGAACCCAGUCAUUUUAAAUCACUUUCUGUCAUUACAAUCUCUUGGAGAUAAACUGUUGCCUAUGCCCAAGGUAACGGUGAAAGACUAUGGAUUCUGAGGCAGAGGGAGCAUAGAGCCUGUGUGAAACUAAGUCACACAAGGUUCUCACUCUGGCCUGAGAAAGCAUAAGGAGGAAUCCAAACAGUCCUUGGAGAAAGACACCAACCUUUGCAGGUGUUGUUUGGAUCCUUGUUGUUUACUUGCAAGAAUCAGUCAAAGGAUGUAGUAACCAGUUGUCCAAUAAUGGUGAUGUGUUGGUUUAAUGACCAAUGAGAGUUUUACCUCUUGGACCUUCUCAGAACUGUCUAUAAAAGAAGAUCUGGAUUAAUACCAGAAAAACCUUGAAAAACCUUGCUCUCCUGUACAACCCACAGGAGAGUCUGUGUCGUACUGCUUCACCUUUCCUAAUAUAGUGCGACAAAAGAUCUUCUCACUAAUAAGUGGGGAGGCACAUGGAGUCUCAUUACUUGGGGAAGGGGAUGUGCCCGUGUCUCCAUGGACACUGGAACACAAUGGGUACCUGCCAGAUAUGUCUGUCCUGCUUUAUGUCCUGCUCGAGACCACAAACACCCUCUGACAGUACCUGAACGGAUGUGAUAGAACAAAAUUAAGAAGAGUAACCAGAACAACCCAUUCACCUACCUCAUGAAAAUCAGAGACUCUUGAAAAGACAGUUCAUUUAAAAACUGUUUAUUUACAAAUUGUUUUUCUGUUAAGUUGGGUUUUUAUCACAGUUCUAAAUGUUGAAUGUUUUUUUGUUUCUUGCUUAUAGAGUUAAGGUAUAAUCUCAGUUCAAAAUAGUUUCUUGUUUUUUAAUGUUAAAUUGUAACUUGUAACUAUAAGUAGUUAACUUCAGGCAUCUUAACUUGAAGGAUUGUGAUCUUGACUGCCAGCUCCUGGAAGUUAGUAUUGCAAACUCAGUUUAGUACACAAAGCACAUUGCUAGCCAAGGAGAAUUAAGUUUAUCAAAUCAAUUGGAAAACUUCAUUCAAAUUAAACCUAUGCUGUCCCUGUUAUCCUCUUCAAAUGGUCCUUGCAGAUAGGAUAACAGAUAGCAUUUUACAUUUUUUAAUUUAACCGAAAAGGGUGAAUUGUCACAGUAUUAUCAUAGUACAGUUGGCCUGGACUGGACAAAGUAAAUCUGACUAUAACACAAAUCCAACUCAGCCUAGUUCAUGUCUGAACAAACAUGUCCCUGGAUGAGUUAUAGGGGACCCUCAGCCAGCCCCAUCCAAGCUGAGAAGUAAGCACACCACUGGCCAGGAAGCUGGACAGGGAGAGAGAUAUCAGCCAAUGGCUGAAUAGCCCGGGAAAUUUGAAUCGGGUAUUUAAGCGAGUUCUGAAUAAUAAACAAGGCUGGUAUGUCUCAUGAGCA